rnacentral:misc_RNA from 1 species
CCGAGAGGAAAUAAAGGAAGGACAGUGGUAAAGGGAGCUGCUGAAGCAAUCUGAAUCCUUCAAAGAUUAUCUAUAUUAUCAAGAAUUCAAGAUUGUUCAGCUAAUAUGAAUGACUUGGAAGCUGGGUAUCCUACAGAAGUCCAAAAAGCUAACAGCAAUGGCGAUCUUCAAAGAUUAUCUCCAUCAUCAAGCAUUCAAGAUCGAUCAGACAAUAUGACUGACUGGGAAGCUGGGAAUCCUACAGAUGUCCAAAACGCUAACAGCAAUGGCGAUUUUGAGUCCUACGGCACAGCAGAUGGCUUGCAUCAAAGGGU